rnacentral:misc_RNA from 1 species
GAACCUUAUAUGGUUCGCAUGCUAUCGUAAUGAGAUCUCAUUUUUGCAAUAUAUACAAUACCACGGUAUUCACGCAUGCACAAUAGAAACCCAGCCAACGGAAUGAGGGGAACAUAGGUUCUAGGUUGCAGUCUCUUUGGAAGUUGAAGUGCAGGUGCUCUCUGGCUAAAAUUAGCAGUAAAACAUUACCUGCCCUCUUUAUUUCAAGGUCACAUUUGACGACCCUAGUGAAACAAAGUCGAAUUUACCCACAAAAAAGGUCCGCCAUGUGUUCUUUGUUUGGUGUAGUAUUGCAACUACAUCAGUGCAAGAGCAAGAUUGUCAAAAGCAUCCACUUGUGUUCAUCAGUACAGUUCAUCCACAACCACAGUAGUCUAUGAAACCACCCACCACCACCAGUCGGUACAGUGCAACGGCCAGUGGCCCAAUCGAGAUACUCUCAUACUCAUACGAGAGAGAUUUUAAUAUACUCGGAUAGGAUUGGAAGUUGGAACAUCAUUAACUAGUAGCAAUAAUUAUGUUCCCCAAAUUCGACCAAGCUUCGGACUCUACGUUUUUAAAAAAGAUCCACGCGCGGCGCGUGCGUGACACUGGCACCAGGGGUGACCACACGGCGACGCGUGGCGUGGCAUGGACGCUCGGCGGCUCCGGUGGCUGGCCGGCGGCGGCCGCCGUUGCUCCGGAAGGCACCACCGACCGCCAUUCUUGGAAACUUAAGCGCACCGAGCAAGGAAAAGGUGUGGGGGCCACGGGACAUUUCCCGACCAAGCGGAAAGAAGGAAGGGAGCAAGAAGAACAUCUUCCUCCCGGAACGAAUGAAAACCCCGUGAAGAAGCGCAAUCCACCUGUGCCUGCGGGCGGCAGCUACACCACACCUCACGACCUUAAGAAGAACUCUAACGCAACAGAAAUACCGAACAGAGUCUCUCAAGCCUGCAGCCGAAGCAAAAUUUCCAGGGGGGGAGGGGAUGAGAGGAAGGAAAGAGGUAAUCUGAAGUUGAUGAAGAAGUUUUUUUUUUUUGACCCCGCGCGCGUACCUGGCCAUCUCGGCAGUCUCGAGC